rnacentral:rRNA from 1 species
CUAUUCUUCGGAAUAGUUGAAAGUGGCGCACGGGUGCGUAACGCGUAUGCAACCUACCCUUAACAGGGGGAUAGCCCAGAGAAAUUUGGAUUAAUACCCCAUAGUACUACAAGAUGGCAUCUGAAAGUAGUUAAAGAUUUAUCGGUUAAGGAUGGGCAUGCGUAACAUUAGAUAGUUGGUGAGGUAACGGCUCACCAAAUCCACGAUGUUUAGGGGUUCUGAGAGGAUGAUCCCCCACACUGGUACUGAGAUACGGACCAGACUCCUACGGGAGGCAGCAGUAGGGAAUAUUGGUCAAUGGGCGAGAGCCUGAACCAGCCAUGCCGCGUGCAGGAAGACAGCUUUCUGAGUUGUAAACUGCUUUUAUAUGGGAAGAAAAAGGCCUUGCGAGGCAAAUUGCCGGUACCAUAUGAAUAAGCACCGGCUAACUCCGUGCCAGCAGCCGCGGUAAUACGGAGGGUGCAAGCGUUGUCCGGAUUUAUUGGGUUUAAAGGGUGCGUAGGCGGAUCUUUAAGUCAGUGGUGAAAUCCUGCAGCUUAACUGUAGAACUGCCAUUGAUACUGGAGAUCUUGAGUAUACUAGAGGUAGGCGGAAUUUAUGGUGUAGCGGUGAAAUGCAUAGAUACCAUAAAGAACACCGAUAGCGUAGGCAGCUUACUGGAGUAUAACUGACGCUGAGGCACGAAAGCAUGGGUAGCGAACAGGAUUAGAUACCCUGGUAGUCCAUGCCGUAAACGAUGAUUACUCGAUGUUGGCGAUAUACUGUCAGCGUCCAAGCGAAAGCGUUAAGUAAUCCACCUGGGGAGUACGCUCGCAAGAGUGAAACUCAAAGGAAUUGACGG